CAAGAGCCGAUAAAGAGCUUCCAUCUGACGCGCUGUGAACGCCGCGGUCUGCUGCAGUCACGCACUCAGUAUCACUGGUUAUGUACAACAUGGAAGAAUGCAAUAUCGAGGAAUGUGAUCAGAGCCGAUCUCUUCAGCUGAUUAAUGUAGAGAGAUGAAAAUGGGAGCGAGGGAUAUCCGAACCUCUCCGAUGACGGAUUUUAUGGAGGAGCCCGCAGCCUGUGAUGGGAGCUAAAGGUUUAUACUGCUGGCUGUAGUCGCUUCCUGGUGGAUCUUUUGGUGUGAGCCUGCAUCUCCUCUGCAGACAGACGGUCUUCAGGAGUGGGCCGCUGUUUGUCCUUUGCUUUGAGGGUGACUGUGAGAGUGAGAGCAAGGCAUUCUGGGAAUCCCAGCCAGCCCU